GAUGAACGCUGGCGGCGUGCCUAAUACAUGCAAGUCGAGCGAACGGACGAGAAUCUUGCUUCUCUGAUGUUAGCGGCGGACGGGUGAGUAACACGUGGAUAACCUACCUAUAAGACUGGGAUAACUUCGGGAAACCGUAGCUAAUACCGGAUAAUAUUUUGAACCGCAGGGUUCAAAAGUGAAAGACGGUCUUGCGGUCACGUAUAGAUGGAUCCGCGCUGCAUUAGCUAGUUGGUAAGGUAACGGCUUACCAAGGCAACGAUGCAUAGCCGACCUGAGAGGGGGAUGGGGCCCACUGGAACUGAGACACGGCCCAGACUCCUACGGGAGGCAGCAGGAGGGAAUCGUCCGAAAUGGGCGAAAGCCUGACGGAGCAACGCAGCGUGAGUGAUGAAGGUCUUCGGAUCGUAAAACUGUGUUAUUAGGGAAGAACAUAUGUGUAAGUAACUGUGCAUGUCUUGACGGUACCUAAACAGAAAGCCACGGCUAACUACGU
rnacentral:rRNA from 1 species